CCGUCAAUUCCUUUAAGUUUCACCGUUGCCGGCGUACUCCCCAGGUGGAUUACUUAUCGCUUUCGCUUGGUCACUGGAAAUUGCUCCCCAGCAACGAGUAAUCAUCGUUUACAGUGCGGACUACCAGGGUAUCUAAUCCUGUUUGAUCCCCGCACUUUCGAGCCUCAGCGUCAGUUACAGCUUCGUUAGCUGCCUUCGCAAUCGGUGUUCUAUGACAUAUCUAAGUAUUUCACCACUACAUGUCAUAUUCCGCCAACGGCAACUGUACUCUAGACCUGCAGUAUCAAUGGCAGUUUGUGGGUUAAGCCCACAGAUUUCACCACUGACUUACAAGUCCGCCUACGCUCCCUUUAAACCCAAUGAAUCCGGAUAACGCUUGCAUCCUUCGUCUUACCGCGGC
rnacentral:misc_RNA from 1 species